AAUAGAGGAACGAAGGCUAAAACCAUCACGUCCUGUGAUAACGCCUUCGUGAUAACGUUUUGUUGG
rnacentral:sRNA from 1 species